UGCUACUCCCUCCACCUAUUUUCCGUACCUAAUUUUAAUUGUCCGUCUUAUUUAAAUUUUUUUUAAAAAAAAAUUAAAAACAUAAGUCACGCAUAAAGUACUAUUUAUAUUUUAUUAUCUCAUAACAAUAAAAAUACUACUAAUUAUUAAAAAAAUUUAAAUAAGAUGAAUGAUCAAAGUUGAGCACGGAAACUUAUAUACACUUAAA
rfam:Oryza sativa Japonica Group DNA, chromosome 3, cultivar: Nipponbare, complete sequence.